CGAACGGGUGAGUAACGCGUGAGGAACCUGCCUCAAAGAGGGGGACAACAGUUGGAAACGACUGCUAAUACCGCAUAAGCCCACGGCUCGGCAUCGAGCGGAGGGAAAAGGAGCAAUCCGCUUUGAGAUGGCCUCGCGUCCGAUUAGCUAGUUGGUGAGGUAACGGCCCACCAAGGCGACGAUCGGUAGCCGGACUGGGAGGUUGAACGGCCACAUUGGGACUGAGACACGGCCCAG
rnacentral:rRNA from 1 species